CUCUGGUAUGAAGGCAGAAGGAGGCAGCCAGAGAGCCCCGAUGCUUAUUCAGGCUGGGGAGAGGAGCGGAGUGGAGGGGCGAGCUAGGCUCCGGCAGCGCAGGGGAUCCCGGGGAGGCGGCGGCGCGCGGCGGAGCCAGUGGCCGGACAUGCCCCGGAUCCGGGGCCGCUGCAGCACCGCCGCCGCCCGGAGCCAGCCGGCCGGACGCCCGCACGCCUGGGUCCCCUGGCGCCGCGCCGCCCGGGGGCUGCGAUCUGGACCCUCGGCAUCCGACCAACAAUAAGCGCCUAGACAGCCCCCUCCCCGCCCCGCGCCCGCCGUCCCCGCGGGCCUCGGGGAAAGUGAAAGGAGGAGGCGAAGGAAGGAAGGAAGGAAGGAAGGGAGGAGGAGGAGCAGGAGCGGCAGCAGCCGGAGCCGAGAGGUUUGGGCCGAGACCCCAGCCCGGAGCCCCGGCACGGCGGUGCGCUAGCUCUCCCGCUGCUGCCGGUGCCCAGGACCAUGCUCCGCGGUUGGGAGGCAGGAACCCAGGCAACCAGCGCCUCCCGGAUACCUGCUCGCGGGCCGGGCUGGUAUUAAGAUCAAGGCGUCCAGGAUCAAAAAGACCACCGCCUGCCUGCCUUCUCCGCGUCUCCACCGUCCUGCUGGAGGAUCCCAGUCCACCCAAGGACCCUGACCUGGUUAUGGCGUCCAGCUCCGGCCUGGCGUGAGGACCCCCGAGCGGUGCGAGGGAGCCCCCAUCCCAGACCACACCCCUGAGCCUGAACCUGACACACAUUCCUCAGAGGUGAGCGGGCCCGUGUGUUUUGUGCUGCUAUUUUGGCCUCCCC
rnacentral:lncRNA from 1 species